rnacentral:piRNA from 1 species
UCACUCUUGAGGUGCCUGGCUCU